AUCUACGCGUCAAAGAAAUUGGUGUUUACUUAGAAUAAAAGUUUCCGGAAUUGUAUAUUCCAAACUGAACGUACAGGAAAAACAAUUUUUUAAACAUUUUCUGGCAUCGGUUGUCACGGAAAUUUUAUAAAAAAUCUACAAAUAUUCAGUUUCUAUAAAUACAGUUACUGAGACUUAGAAGAAAUACCGGUUGAGUUUUUUCCCGAAGAUUCAACGGUUUCCAGUUAAGAAACAAUUAUUUAUUGAGGAAAUUCGCGUACCAUUGAUGCACGCCAUACAUUCUUUCGGAACUUCGUAAAACAUUUCGCUAGGAGACCUGAGCCAUGUCGGACAAAAAUCCUGGUUGUGCCAACGAUAAUAGUUCUUACUGGUAGUAACAAUUACCAUAAUUGCAUACGGAAUUAUCUGAUGACGAUAUUUAAUUACCACGCUACUUUUUAUCAUGCUUGUUUAAUGAUAUGGCUAACAAAACAGUUACAGUUGUUUCGUCGAUUUCAAUGAAAAUUCUCGGAGGAUCUUGAUCGAUGUAGUACGCAGGAUUAACCUAUUUCUCGAUGUAUAAUACACGCUCUAAAAGUGCAUACCUUCGUAGAGCGUGAAAGUAUGUAGAAUGUUCCACUUUUUCCCUAUUUGUAACCGUUUCGAUGAAGAAUCGCUAUGCAUUCAGCAGAGAUACCGGGAAACAGAAACAGGUGUUAAAAGUUGAGGAACAACCGUUGUACGAUGUGUCACAUGCGAAGUCACCGUUUGACCACGAUUGCACCGAUAUUCCAUGCAAUUACAGCAUCCCACGAUCAAUUGCAUUACUCCUUAUUCUUUCCAGGACAAGAGAAAAUAUUCGUACACAAACCGUUUUAUUGCCGUUCACUUUUCAAAUUUCAACUGCGUUUAUGCGCAGUUUAGGAAAACGAUUAAGAAAACCCAAUAAACUCUUGCAUGUACUUGACGCAUGAGUUUUGAGAAAUAAACACUGUUCCCGAUCGAGAAGUUACACAAUCGUUACCGCGUCGAUAUGCAACGAGAAUAUUCACUUUUGAAGAAAUUUAUAUUUCACAGACGAUUAUGAAUUCUAUUUAACGCGUCACUGGAAGUUACACUUUUCAGGUAUCGUUACCUUAUAGCCACUGUUGAAAUAUUUAUGCAACGAUGUUUGAGGUGUAUAUCGCUUUUUAAUAACAGAGGAACAAUUGACAGAUUAACUAUUUAAUAACUUUUGUAGUUUGAUACACGUGUUAUUUGGUGCUGUGUAACACGCAAAUGUCUAAAACGUAGGAACGAACGGACCGGCAGUUGUUUCUUCCCUUGAGAGCAACAGCGGACUAAAUGUUCCACGCGCGUUAAAAAGGUGUUAUAUCUUGUAGAUAAAGACGUUUAACAAUUACUUAGAACUUCGAACUAUCAAAGUUUAUCGCUUGGAUUAGCAUCAGGCUCUGGAAAAUACGAAUUUGUCUCACAUUGAAUAAUAUUUUUUUAACUAUUUUUAAAAUGUGUUAACUGUACCAACAGUUGUCAAGAGAGUGAAAUAAGGAAUAUAGAAAUUUAUUUUGUCGAGAGCACCUGGUUUGAAUCUUAUUCAUCGACUGAAGAAAGAACAAGGUAUUGAAAACGGCAUACACGUCUGAAAUUACUGUUCAUCAUCAAGUGCGGGUUUUCUGUUACUGUUCAAUUAACACGGCUGUUCAUUACAUAAUUCCUGGACCUUUAAUGAACGCGCGGCUACCAAGAUAAUCACACGUUAAUCCUUAUUCGUUCCGAAGCAUAUUGCUUGACUACAUUCUUGGAAUAAAAUCACGUACGCUUAAAUUCUCACCGGCUGGCUUGUACCUGAUCAAUAUCGGAUAGCAAAAACAGGUAACAACGAGAUUAAAGUAACAAGAGGACUCGUAUACGUCAGAGACAUGUUACCUUGUGACUUUUAAUACGUCAUCGAAUAUAUUUAAAAGGUAAUUUUGGGAAUGAUGCACAACGAGGGAAUCAUGAAAAAUGACUACUGUCGAAAACAGAAAUUUGAGAACCCCUAACCUAAGGAAUCUUUUUCUGAAAUGCGCUAAAAUGUUAAUAAACGAGAAUUAAAGAAUAAAGAACAUGAAACGAUACUUGUGAAAGGAUCGGGUCGAAAGAGGAUGCUUACGCGUACCGUAAUCUAUGCUUGCUCAGCGAGCGCUGAAACGAAGAACACAUAAACCGUCACGUAAAAAUAGAUUGACCCUGUCGUCGAUAAAACCCUGCAAAGCGCGAAACCCUUCAACGAAGGUAAUUCGAUAUACACGCGAGGAGAGGUGAAUGGCGUAAAGCAUUCUCACGGGGUACUCAUAUAGUACUUACAAUGGAUUCUCUUUUGAAUUCCAUAUCCUGGACUUGAAUAGUUUCUUCCUUUUUUCUUCUUUACGACUGAUUUCAUUUUAUUAUGCCUUCACAAACGGACUAAUGGAAUAAAAGCAAAUUGCAUAAAUAACAAAAGAAUUUUU